rnacentral:lncRNA from 1 species
UCUUGUUAUGUUCUUUCUCUUCUCUCCUACGUUGUCUGUCUUUUUCUAAGUGCUUGGCGAACCCCACAACAGAUGAGAAAGCUGUCAUUCCUACCGCUACAGCUAAUGUCGUAUCCUUAAUAUGGUAAGCCAAACCGCCAACAAACCUGCGAAUCUUUGCUUUUUCUAUCUUAACCAUGUGAGGAGCAUGCUUAACUGAGGUCGUAUCCUUAAUGUGGUAAGCCAAACCCAACAACCCUGUGAAUCUUUGCUUUUUCUGUCUUACCAUGUGAGGAGCAUACUUAGCUAACCUUAUGAAUUCCAAGUAGUACUCUUGCACACUUUUAUUCCCUUGCUUGAGCUGUUCGAACUCUGUAGCCUUAGCUGUCGUAUCCUCUUCUUGGAUAAAGUUAGCUAUAAAGGCCUCUUCAAAUUCUUCCUAAGUAGGUGGACCAUCAUCUUCAUCUCUCUCUUUUUCCCACAUCUCAAACCAAGCGCCAGCCACAUCUCUAAGUUGGUAAGCAGCAAGCUCCAACUUUCUUUUUCCCACAUCUCAAACCAAGCGCCAACCACAUCUCUAAGCUGGUAAGCAUCUAGCUCCACUGCUUUGUCAUCAAAUACCUUCAUCACUCAGAGGGCUUUCUUAAC